rnacentral:sRNA from 1 species
AUAAGCUAACAACAAGCAAAACUUUUUCAUUCUUUCUCCCUUUUUAGAAUGAAACCUAAAACUCCCUUUUUUGACCGACACGGUUUACUCCCUUUUUCCGUGUCGGUUUUUUU